rnacentral:rRNA from 1 species
UACAGAGGUGGCAAGCGUUGUUCGGAAUUAUUGGGCGUAAAGAGCUCGUAGGCGGUUUGUCGCGUCGGCCGUGAAAUCUCCACGCUUAACGUGGAGCGUGCGGUCGAUACGGGCAGACUUGAGUUCGGUAGGGGAGACUGGAAUUCCUGGUGUAGCGGUGAAAUGCGCAGAUAUCAGGAGGAACACCGGUGGCGAAGGCGGGUCUCUGGGCCGAUACUGACGCUGAGGAGCGAAAGCGUGGGGAGCGAACAGG